rnacentral:rRNA from 1 species
AUUGAACGCUGGCGGAAUGCUUUACACAUGCAAGUCGAGCGGCAGCGCGGGGGCAACCCUGGCGGCGAGCGGCGAACGGGUGAGUAACAUAUCGGAACGUACCCCGUCGUGGGGAUAACACAGCGAAAGCUGUGCUAAUACCGCAUACGACCUGAGGGUGAAAGCGGGGGAUCGCAAGACCUCGCGCGAUGGGAGCGGCCGAUAUCGGAUUAGCUUGUUGGUGAGGUAAAGGCUCACCAAGGCGACGAUCCGUAGCUGGUCUGAGAGGACGACCAGCCACACUGGAACUGAGACACGGUCCAGACUCCUACGGGAGGCAGCAGUGGGGAAUUUUGGACAAUGGGGGCAACCCUGAUCCAGCCAUGCCGCGUGAGUGAAGAAGGCCUCGGUUGUAAGACUCUUCGGUCCGGGAACGGAAAUAC